GGGGAAUAUUGGACAAUGGGGGAAACCCUGAUCCAGCAAUGCCGCGUGAGUGAUGAAGGCCUUAGGGUCGUAAAGCUCUUUUACCAGGGAUGAUAAUGACAGUACCUGGAGAAUAAGCUCCGGCUAACUCCGUGCCAGCAGCCGCGGUAAUACGGAGGGAGCUAGCGUUGUUCGGAAUUACUGGGCGUAAAGCGCACGUAGGCGGUUAUUCAAGUCAGAGGUGAAAGCCCGGGGCUCAACCCCGGAACUGCCUUUGAAACUAGAUGACUGGAAUCUUGGAGAGGUCAGUGGAAUUCCGAGUGUAGAGGUGAAAUUCGUAGAUAUUCGGAAGAACACCAGUGGCGAAGGCGACUGACUGGACAAGUAUUGACGCUGAGGGGCGAAAGCGUGGGGAGCAAAC
rnacentral:rRNA from 1 species